CGAUAACUUGACAGUUGAUAACCACCGUGUGACAGUGGAACCCAAAGCUGAUGAGGGCAGAAGACCACCUGUUGACGCUGGAAAGCUACUGAAGCAUAAAUAAAAAAUAACACUCUCCAAACAUGGCUGAAGAGGCUUUUGGGAAAACAUUAAAACAACUAAAGCGGGAAAGAACCGUGGCUAAGAAUGCUUUUGCCAAACAAGCCAACCUUCUAAGCAGAAAUGCCCGAAGUAUGGCAGAAAUUGAACUGCGGGAGGAGUUCAAGAAGCUCACUCUGGAAGCCAGGAAUGUCAGUGAGGCGAUUGAUGAUUACAGAGCCGGACUACUAGCAGAAAUGGACAUCACAGAUGAAGUUGAGCUUGACAAGCAGCAGGAAGCUGAGCUGGAGAGAACCAUGACUGACUGUGAUUCAAGACUUGAAGGUGUAAGGAGAGUCGUCCAAUCCAACCUCUGGUCAAGAUAUGGUCAUGAAGAGAUAAAUGUUGCAAUUGAGGAAGCUGAAAAAGCUUGUGAUAGUAUCAACGCAAUUCCAGUCACUGCUGUGAAUAAGGAUGGAUAUGAUGCACGACUGACUCUUGUGGAGAAACUGGUCCAAGGUGCAAUUUGCAGCCUAGCAGUUUGGGAACUGUGGAUACCAGAGUCAGAAAAAGGUCAUGUUGAAGGCAGAGUGAAGAAGUUAAAAGCUUUAAGCAACGCAUUUCAAGCAAGAAGAUCUGAGUUCAUUACUGCUAAAGCAAUAGUGGAAGAAAGCAGUCGUGCUUCUGAGGCAAUUGCAGCAGCAAGUGUUGGGACGACACAUGCCACACCUGCCCUGAAGAUAAGGCCAACCAGUUUGCCAAGAUUCCAUGGUUGCAAGAGAAGCUUCCAUCGUUGGAGACGAGACUGGGAGAAUCUACAACAUCAGGGAGAACCAACUGGCUCACCUGAAGUUAAAAAGCUGCAGUUGCUGGAAAGUGUGGAUGAGAAGAUUGGUCGAGAGCUCCGCCUGUCAAAUUACAACACAGCAGACGAUGUCCUGAGAGUUCUUGAAAAUAGGUAUGGAAAUAAGUCAAUUGUCGCCCUAGAGAUAAUUGAGGACUUGGACAAGACUCCCGUCCUGAGAAGCAGUCAACCUAGGAAAAUUAUCGACUUAAUCCAAAAUGUAGAAAAAGCUCUUGUUGACCUCACAGAGCUCGGUAAUGCAAGUGCCCUCAAGAACCCCCUUGUGACCAAGUCCAUAGAGAGCAAGC
rnacentral:lncRNA from 1 species